rnacentral:rRNA from 1 species
GACGAACGCUGGCGGCGUGCUUUACACAUGCAAGUCGAACGGAAAGGCCCUGCUUUUGUGGGGUGCUCGAGUGGCGAACGGGUGAGUAACACGUGAGUAACCUGCCCUUGACUUUGGGAUAACUUCAGGAAACUGGGGCUAAUACCGGAUAGGAGCUCCUGCUGCAUGGUGGGGGUUGGAAAGUUUCGGCGGUUGGGGAUGGACUCGCGGCUUAUCAGCUUGUUGGUGGGGUAGUGGCUUACCAAGGCUUUGACGGGUAGCCGGCCUGAGAGGGUGACCGGCCACAUUGGGACUGAGAUACGGCCCAGACUCCUACGGGAGGCACCAGUGGGGAAUAUUGCACAAUGGGCGGAAGCCUGAUGCAGCAACGCCGCGUGCGGGAUGACGGCCUUCGGGUUGUAAACCGCUUUCGCCUGUGACGAAGCGUGAGUGACGGUAAUGGGUAAAGAAGCACCGGCUAACUACGUG